UGGGGAAUAUUGGACAAUGGAGGCAACUCUGAUCCAGCAAUGCCGCGUGUGUGAUGAAGGCCCUAGGGUUGUAAAGCACUUUCAACGGUGAAGAUGAUGACGGUAGCCGUAGAAGAAGCCCCGGCUAACUUCGUGCCAGCAGCCGCGGUAAUACGAAGGGGGCGAGCGUUAUUCGGAAUUAUUGGGCGUAAAGGGCUCGCAGGCUGCUUGAACAGUUAGACGUGAAAUCCCCGGGCUCAACCUGGGAACUGCGUUUAAUACUAGCAAGCUAGAGAAAUAGAGAGGAAAGUGGAACUCCCAGUGUAGAGGUGAAAUUCGUAGAUAUUGGGAAGAACACCAGUGGCGAAAGCGACUUUCUGGCUAUUUUCUGACGCUGAGGAGCGAAAGCGUGGGGAGCAAACAGG
rnacentral:rRNA from 1 species